UUCUUUUGGGGUUACCCAUCUGUUUUCUGCGGGGAAAAAAUCCUGAAUUUUUAUUCUCUGUUGAUUAUUUCAUGUUUCAUUACCAGUUAUUCCUAUCUCUUUGCUCCGUUUCUCUGUCUUCCAAGAAAUAUUUGGUGUUGAUAUUAACAUAGUUUUGUCUUGUGGGGAAAUUUGCAUUUUUGUGUCUGAUUUUGUUAUUUCAGAAAUUGUUUUGGUUUUACGCGUAAGCUUGAAAGAAAGUCCCAUUAAUUGUUGUUUAGCGGAUAACAUUUAGUAUGUUGUCUUGUAGCUGUGUGUAGGGGCCAUUUUUCUUGCGAGUGCUGACAAUUUCCCCCCCUUUUUUUCCCUUUGUUUUGUUUCUUGGAUAUAAUUUACCUUCUUGUCCAUACUCCAGAGUGUUAGAUUAAAGAAUG
rnacentral:misc_RNA from 1 species